rnacentral:rRNA from 1 species
GACGAACGCUGGCGGCGUGCUUAACACAUGCAAGUCGAACGAAGAGCGAUGGAAGCUUGCUUCUAUCAAUCUUAGUGGCGAACGGGUGAGUAACGCGUAAUCAACCUGCCCUUCAGAGGGGGACAACAGUUGGAAACGACUGCUAAUACCGCAUACGAUCUAACCUCGGCAUCGAGGAAAGAUGAAAGGUGGCCUCUAUGUAUAAGCUAUCACUGAAGGAGGGGAUUGCGUCUGAUUAGCUAGUUGGAGGGGUAACGGCCCACCAAGGCGAUGAUCAGUAGCCGGUCUGAGAGGAUGAACGGCCACAUUGGGACUGAGACACGGCCCAGACUCCUACGGGAGGCAGCAGUGGGGAAUCUUCCGCAAUGGACGAAAGUCUGACGGAGCAACGCCGCGUGAGUGAUGACGGCCUUCGGGUUGUAAAGCUCUGUUAAUCGGGACGAAAGGCCUUCUUGCGAAUAGUGAGAAGGAUUGACGGUACCGGAAUAGAAAGCCACGGUUAACUACGUG